UAUUGGUCAAUGGGCGCGAGCCUGAACCAGCCAAGUAGCGUGAAGGAUGACGGCCCCAUGGGUUGUAAACUUCUUUUAUAUGGGUAUAAAGUUUGGUAUGCAUACCAUUUUGUAUGUACCAUAUGAAUAAGCAUCGGCUAACUCCGUGCCCGCAGCCGCGGUAAUACGGAGGAUCCGAGCGUUAUCCGGAUUUAUUGGGUUUAAAGGGAGCGUAGGCGGGUUGUUAAGUCAGUUGUGAAAGUUUGCGGCUCAACCGUAAAAUUGCAGUUGAUACUGGCAUCCUUGAGUACAGUAGAGGUAGGCGGAAUUCGUGGUGUAGCGGUGAAAUGCUUAGAUAUCACGAAGAACUCCGAUUGCGAAGGCAGCUCACUGGACUGGUCACUGACACUGAGGCUCGAAAGUGUGGGUAUCAAAC
rnacentral:rRNA from 1 species